rnacentral:rRNA from 1 species
GACGAACGCUGGCGGCGUGCUUAACACAUGCAAGUCGAACGGAAAGGCCCUGCUUUUGUGGGGUUCUCGAGUGGCGAACGGGUGGGUAACAAGUGAGUAGCCUGCCCUUGACUUUGGGAUAACUUCAGGAAACUGGGGCUAAUACCGGAUAGGAGCUCCUGCUGCAUGGUGGGGGUUGGAAAGUUUCGGCGGUUGGGGAUGGACUCGCGGCUUAUCAGCUUUUUGGUGGGGUAGUGGCUUACCACGGCUUUGACGGGUAGCCGGCAUGAGAGGGUGACCGGCCACAUUGGGACUGCGAUACGGCCCAGACUCCUACGGGAGGCAGCAGUGGGGAAUAUUGCACAAUGGGCGGAAGCCUGAUGCAGCAACGCCGCGUGCGGGAUGACGGCCUUCGGGUUGUAAACCGCUUUCGCCUGUGACGAAGCGUGAGUGACGGUAAUGGGUAAAGAAGCACCGGCUAACUACGUG